UGGGCUGGUCGAAAGACCCAGGUCCACAUGUUGGCGGGUAGGACACCC
rnacentral:sRNA from 1 species